AACCUAGCACACCUGCGGUGUGUACCUGCGGAGGGAUCAUUACAGAGUUGCAAAACUCCCUAAACCAUUGUGAACGUUACCUAAACCGUUGCUUCGGCGGGCGGCCCGGGUCCUUCCCGGCGCCCAUCGGCCCUCGCGGGCGCCCGCCGGAGGUAAACCAAACUAUUGCAUUGUAUGGCCUCUCUGAGUCUUCUGUACUGAAUAAGUCAAAACUUUUAACAACGGAUCUCAGAUCGGAAG
rnacentral:misc_RNA from 1 species